rnacentral:rRNA from 1 species
AUACGUAGGUGGCGAGCGUUAUCCGGAAUUAUUGGGUGUAAAGGGUGCGUAGGCGGGAUGUAAAGUCAGAUGUGGAAUACCGGGGCUUAACCACGGGGUUGCAUUUGAAACUUAUGUUCUUGAGUUAAGUAGAGGCAAGCGGAAUUCCCAGUGUAGCGGUGAAAUGCGUAGAUAUUGGGAGGAACACCGGUGGCGAAGGCGGCUUGCUGGGCUUUGACUGACGCUGAGGCACGAAAGUGUGGGGAGCGAACAGGAUUAGAUACCCUGGUAGUCCACACUGUAAACGAUGAUUACUAGGUGUAGGGUGGCUGAACCAUUCUGUGCCGGAGUUAACACAAUAAGUAAUCCACCUGGGGAGUACGGCCGCAAGGUUGAA